AGUUCCGAAGAGAAAGAGAAAGGGUGGCAAGGAGACUGCGGGCUAGGGUCGCGGCGGAAGCCUGGAAGUGAAUUUUUGUGAAUUUCUGUGGCGUCUGGAUCGCGAGAGGAAUCGGCUUCUCCUGCAGAGGGCUUCCGGGACAGGGCAGGAUUUUAGGGGUUUUGUUUUUAAGGGGAGCUGGUGUAAGGGAGGAGGAAAAUGAAUGGCAUACUGAUUGGAAUGUUAAUUGGAGUAUUUCAGAUGUGAAGAGCAAAGUAAAUCCAUACUCUUCUUUCUUUGAUUGCUCCAUUAGUCUGUCUUCAUUUUAAAAUUCUCAGCUUUGAAACCGGCCAGAGUGUUUGGGGAGAAUUUGACGGAAUUCAGGUGUGAGGGUUUGAUCCCGUUUAAGUGCCUUUUAAUUAGGGCACGUAAUUCAACCACUUGUUUACAAUGGGAUUUCUGAAGACCUGUGUGUUAAGAAGAAAUGCAUGCACUGCGGUUUGCUUCUGGAGAAGCCAAGUUGUACAAAAGCCUUCAGUUCGAAAAAUUAGUACUACCUCUCCAAGAAGCACUGUCAUGCCUGCUUGGGUGAUAGAUAGAUAUGGGAGUAAUGAAGUGCUUCGAUUUACCCAGAACAUGAUGAUACCAAUGAUACACUAUCCAAAUGAAGUCAUUAUCAAAGUUCACGCUGCAAGUAUAAAUCCUAUAGAUGUUAAUAUGAGAAGUGGUUAUGGAGCCACAGCUUUAAAUAUGAAACGUGAUCCUUUACAUGUUAAAAUCAAAGGAGAAGAAUUUCCUCUGACUCUGGGUCGGGAUGUGUCUGGUGUGGUGAUGGAGUGUGGACUUGAUGUAAGGUACUUCAAACCUGGAGAUGAGGUCUGGGCUGCAGUUCCCCCCUGGAAGCAAGGCACUCUGUCAGAAUUCGUUGUUGUCAGUGGGAACGAGGUCUCACACAAGCCCAGAUCACUCACUCAUACGCAAGCCGCCUCCCUGCCGUACGUGGCUCUCACAGCGUGGUCUGCCAUAAACAAGGUUGGCGGCCUGAACGACAGGAAUUGCACAGGAAAACGUGUUUUAAUCCUGGGCGCUUCAGGUGGAGUUGGUACUUUUGCUAUACAGGUAAUGAAAGCAUGGGAUGCUCACGUGACAGCAGUCUGCUCCCAGGAUGCCAGUGAACUUGUGAGGAAGCUUGGGGCAGACGACGUGAUUGAUUACAAAUCCGGAAAUGUGGAAGAGCAGUUGAAAUCUUCAAAGCCGUUUGACUUUAUCCUCGACAAUGUUGGUGGAGCUACCGAAACCUGGGCUCUCAAUUUCCUCAAGAAGUGGUCGGGAGCCACGUAUGUGACUCUGGUGACUCCUUUCCUCCUGAACAUGGACCGGUUGGGCAUCGCGGACGGCAUGCUGCAGACAGGCGUCACCGUGGGUUCUAAGACGCUGAAGCAUUUCUGGCAAGGAGUCCAUUACCGCUGGGCCUUUUUCAUGGCCAGCGGUCCAUGCCUAGAUGACAUUGCGGAACUGGUGGAGGCGGGAAAGGGCCGUUUGGGCUCAUUUCUGACCAUGAAGGGCUCUGGGACUGUGGUGAUUGAUACGUGACCCUGGAUCCACAAAAGGUCAGCUGUCCCGUGCAUCCUGCUUUGUUGUGGGUGUGAGAGGUCAUUGCCUGUCUACACUGGAAGAUUGGAAAGGAUAACAGAACCGAUCUACUUACAUAUUAUGUGAUUCAGCCAGUUAUUGAAAGAACCUUUCCAUUUUCUAAAGUUCCAGAAGCCUUCCUGAAGGUAGAAAGGGGACAUGCACGAGGAAAGACCGUCAUUAACGUUGUUUAAAUAAACAUUCAGUUUGGUGAUUGUUGGCUUUCUUACUCGGUGAGUGCCUGCAGGCCCCAGCUUUUUUCUAGCCAUCCCUUUCCAGAUGAGACUGCAAGUUCCAUGAUAUAAAUGUAAAAACCACACCCCUUCUUGCCAGUAAUUUUCCUUCUUCUGAGCCAGGCACAGAGAUUUCAUAGCCACACUCCCACCCUCGGCCAUCACCUUGCCCUGCCCAGGGCUUUCUCCCAUCACCUGCCAUGCCUGCCCAUCUGCCAAGCUCUCUCUGUGCCAAGCGCAAGGGACAUGAAUGUACGUAAGGACACGAUAUGAAAAUAUCCGCACUUGGGCUUGUCUGUAAAGUCAUUGAAAAUUGUCUAUUGUUUUUUUUUCACAGCAUAUUUGCAAA